GCUGCUGGCAGCCGUGCCCCCAAAGUUUAGGGGACCAGGCGUGGGCUGGGGGAGAGAAUGACGGGACUCCGGUCCAGGGCAGCGUGACAGCAGCAGAGACAAUGAGAAAGACGACUUCGAGCUUGGCCUGAAGGAGGGGCCCUUCUCGGGCGCGGUGAGUGAGGCGGGAGCUGGCGUUCUUCUGCGGGCGCGUGGUUUUGGGCGGGUCACCAGGGAGAUGCCCGCAGAUGCCCCUGGAGCAGCCCGGGGCCACGAAGUGAGCGUCACUCCUCAAGAGGACGGGCAGACGGUGCAGGCUGUCGGGAGGUGGGAGUCACUGUGAGCCUGUCUUAGCAGGUGGGUCGAUGCUGGGCGGAUGGAUGGCUAAUUUGUACAACCCUUUAUGGGCGUCGCUUCUUUGCCUUCCCCUUCCCUCUGUGAUGCUGCUCUGACUGUCCCUCUGCUUCUCUCUUCCACGUGGGUGCGCCUCUUCCAUUCUGUGCCUUCAGGCACCAUAACAGAUGCUGCAACCCUAAGCACCAUCCUCUCCGUUCUUACAGAGUCCUCGCCCUUGGGUUCCCUGUCUUGGACACCAUCUAUUCAGAUACAGUCCAGGCUGUAUCUUCCUAAUACUUGUUAAAUCAGUUCCCACAUCACAAUCUCCAUUCUCACUAUAUUGUAGCUUCCAUCGGUUUCUUGGUUAAAUUCAACACCCAUCCAGCUUCCCUGAUUGCAACUGGGCCCUAUUGCAUCAAUUUUUGCAUCUGUUGUUAGACCGUUCUUGUUCAAAAACAUGUAAGGGCAUUUCACCCCCUGCCAAGAUUCCACAUCAUUCUCACCCACACUCCUCCAUCAGCAGUUCCAUCUUUGUUCCCAGAAUGUGUCACAUUUCUCUCCUGUGUGUACUUAUCUCACCUGGUGCUGACACUGCCUGUCAUGGAUCUUACUUUUGCACCUUUCUCAACCCUACUCUCACUCCCCAGUCCUCUGUGUGUUGCCUAAUGACUUCUCCUCUUCCUCCUCUGGACUGCCUCUGCGAAGGCAGAGGCCAGGUUUAUCCUACUCACCAGUAGUUGUAUCUCUCCUAGUACCCUGCACAUAGUAGGGGCUCAACAAAUACUUGUUAAAUGAAUGAAUCUCUAAAAUGAGAAAUUACUGUUUUUCACGGCAUCGAGUGCAGCUUUUGCUUAUGAAAGAUGAAUGUUGAAUAUACAAAUUUACUUUGAUUUCAAGAUCCUCAGUAUUGGAAACUAUUUCAAUUCACAGUCUCUAUUUCAUGGCAAAAUCAUUUUAAGGGUAGCUGUUGUUACAUGGCAUAAGUUUAACAUGAGAAACAGAGUACGGUGUAGUUUGCAGGAGAUAGGCUUUGAAUCAGGCUUCCAUGGGUUUGAGUCCUGGCUCCAACAUUUUAGCUCUGUGGCCUCUUAUCUGUAGUUUCUUUAUCUGUAUGGUUGGCUGAUAAUAAUAACCACAUCAUAGGAUUAUUUUAUUUAAUUUUUAGUUUUAUUGGAGUAUGUUGACUUACAAUGUUGUGUUAGCUUCAGGUAUACAGCAGAGUGAAUCAGUUAUACAUACACAUGCACAUAUAUCUAUUCUUUUACAGAUUCUUUUCCCAUUUGGGCCAUCACAGAGUGUUGGUUAGAUUUCCUUGUGCUAUACUGUGGGUCCUUGUUACCUACUGAUUUUAUAUAUAGCAGUGUAUAUAUUCCAGUCCUAAACUCCCAACUCAUCCCUUCCCCCAGCCUUUCCCCUUUGGUAACCAUAAGUUUGGUUUUGCAAUCUUUGAGUCUGCUUUGUGCACAAGUUCCUUUACUAUUUUUUGUUAGAUCCCACAUAUUUGCAAUCCCACAUGAUGCCUGCCCUUCUCUGUCUGACUUAUUUCACUUAGUAUGGUAAUCUCUGUGUUCAUCCAUGUUGCUGCAAAUGGCAUUAUUUCUUUCUUUUUGUGGCUGAGUAAUAUUCCACUGUAUAUAUGUACCACAUCUUUUUGAUUCAUAGGAUUAUUUUAAAGACAAAAUGCACACAACCCAUAUCAAGUGCACAAUGCCUUAUACUUAGUAAAUUUUCACGUCAGAAAAAUAGAAACAUUCACGUGGAUGUUUGUCGCAGCUUUAUUCAUAAUUGCCAAUACCUGCAAACAACCACUAUGCCCUUCAGUGGGUGAAUGGAUAAAUAAACUGUGGCACAUCCAACAAUGAAAUAUUAUUCAGAGAUAAAAGAAAUUGACUAUCAAGCCAUAAAAAGACAUGGAGGAGCCUUAAAUGCAUGUGACUAAGUUAAGCCAGCCUGAAAAGGUUACAUUUGGUAUGAUUCCAACUAUAUGACAUUCUGGAAAAAGCAAAACUGUAGAGACAGUGAAAAAAAUCAGUGAUUAACAGAGGGUGAAGAAGCAAUGUAUGGUCAGGACACAAGGAUUUUCUAGGGCAGUGAAAAUACCCUGUAUGGUGCUAUAAUGAUGAAUACAUGUUAUUAUACAUUUGUCGAAAUCCAUAGAAUGCACAACACCAGGAGCGAACCCUGAGGUAAGCUAUGGACUUUGAGUUAUUAUGAUGUGUCAGUGUAGAUCCAUCCUUGGUAAUCAAUGUUCCAUUCUGGUGAGCAGUCCUGAUCAUGGGGGAGGCCAUGUAGGUCUAGAGACAGGGAGUAGAUGGGAAAUGUCAGUACUUUCCUCUCAAACUUGUUGUAAACCUAAAACGGCCUGAAAAAAAAAAAAUAAAGUCUUAAAAAAAGAAGCAAAAGGAACACUGAGGUUGGAUCUGUGAAAUAUCCCUGGUCAGGUCACCAAAACUAAAGAUCAGUCUUCUAAUUCAGUCAAGUUCAGCUUCUAGGACAUCAUCCUACUACCCGUUCGCACUAUACUACUUGAUCACAAACUUGUACGUCAGCAGCUCUUAUAGGUGGAGAUUCAUUCAAUGAGAAUUUAUUGACUGACUGAUGGAUGCAAGGUGCUAUGGCAGUUAAGGGCAGGUCAAAAGAAGGGUAUACUCAAUAAAGUUUCAAGUAGGUGAGAGAAGGGAAUGUCACUCUCCCUGUCAGGGCCAGUAAGACUUUGAGGACCGAAUCAGAGUGAACUGAGUGGCAUUUUUGGAGAGGUGGGGAAGAAAUGGAAGUUUACUAGGCAUCUAGCAGCGAGCAAACCACGACCCUGUUCCCUUAGGGCUCAGGUUCCCAAGGCGAGUGGACCAGUGUCCACAGAACUCAGACUCUCACGCCAGCUGCUUAGGUUCAAAUUCUGGCUCCUUUGCUGCUUGACACGGGACCUCUAGCAGGUUCCUUCAUGUUUGCAUUUCAGUUUCCUCACCUGUAAAAUGUAUUCCAUGAGUCAGUAUAGACAAAUUUCUUUCUUUUUUUUCUUUUUUUUUUUUUUUUUUUUUUUUUGAUUUUUAUGGCUGCACCCACGGCACAGGGAGGUUUCCAGGCUAGGGGUCCAAUCGGAGCUAAUGCUGCCGGCCUACACCACAGCCACAGCCACACCAGAUCCGAGCCACGUCUAAGACCUACACCGCAGCUCACAGCAACGCCGGAUCCUUAACCCACUGAGCAAGGCCAGGGAUGGAACCCGCAACCUCAUCGUUCCUAGUCAGAUUCAUUUCUACUGUGCCACAACAGGAACUCCAUUAUAGACAAAUUUAGGACUAUAGGGGGUUAUGAAUUAUGUUCUACCUGGAGGAGAGAGACAAGUAAAGAGAUAAAAAUAAAGUGGAGAGGGGCUGGGGGAUAAAAAGUGUCACCUUGGGGACAGGUGGUGUGGCUUGGAUUUGGAAAUGAGUCUCACAUUUGUGAGACCUGGUCAUCCACAGCAAAGUGAACUCUGCAUAUACUUGUACAUAUGCCUGAUGUGUGUGAUUUAAAAAAAAACACGAAAUGAGCACCAAGUGGAAGAGAUGUUUUCUCCUUUGGUAAAAUGAUUGCUCAUACAGGUCUAGAGAUCAGACUUCUCCUCUUCACAUCAGCUGCAACCUGCAACAGUCAUGAUGAGGGACGUUCACUCAAGUCCAUGGAGGUGGCUUAACUCAGAGCUUAUUCCAUCUGUAUUAGGAAUAAUUAUAGUCGGCCUGGGAUCUGGCUUCAUAGCCCUCCACAGAGUCAAAGGACAAAAUGAUCAUCAAAUGGCACAUAUUGAAAAGAGAGACUAAAAUAAUCCUCCUGUGAAAAUCAAAAUAGCUCAAUGGGUUAAGGAUCUGGCUGUGGUAUAGGUGGCACGCAGAUGCAACUCAGAUCUGGUGUUGCUGUGACUGUGGGGUAGGCCAGCAUCUACAGCUCCUACUCAACCCCUGUCCUGGAAAUCUCCAUAAAAAGACAAAAAAAUAAAAAUAAAAAUAAAAACAAGAUGUAGAAUAUAUAAAGCACUGUGACCAUAACUCUGAUCUUGGGCCAUCAGGAAAAAACGAGUCAGUAUUUAAUGUAUUUUGCAUAAAAGACAAGGAAUUGUUCAUUCAUAGGAGAGAAAUGUGUAUGAUGUAGUAUUUGAUGAUUAAAAUGGUAAACAUUUACUUAGAAAAUUCACUCAGGCAAAUAGAGAGCUGGAAAAAUGCCACUGAUAAUUGAGAGUUAGUAUAGUAUUUGAUGAACAAGUUUUAAAUUCCUGCACUGUGGAAAUCAACAGAACAUUGUAAAUCAGCUAUAAUGGAAAAAAUAAAAAUCAUUAUAAUAAAAUAAAAUAAAUUCUUGCACUGCCACGAGGGAUUUAAAGCCUGUGACUUGGACAAAUGAUUUAACCUCUGUGGGCCUUAAUUUUUUCAUCUGUAAAAUGGGGACAGUAAAGGUAGUUGCCUUACAGAUUUUGUUGGGAGAAUUAUAUUAGUUUGUGUGUAGAAAGCAAUUAUGAUGAUGCUGGCACAGGGUAAGCCCUGUGUGAAUAUUUGCUUUUAUUAUCAUUGUUAUUAUUACUAAAUAUGAGAUCUUGGCCAAGUUAUGGAACUCGGUGCCUCAGUUCUUUGAUCUGUAAGUUGGAGACUCAACAUAAUUCACAUCAGAGGAUUGGUUUGAGGAUUAAAUGAAUACAUCAAAGUGCUUAUAAUAGUAAACCCUAAAUAACAUCAGGUGUAACAAGUCAAAAUGAAGACUAUUUGUGACAUUGAAAAUAAAACGUUUGUGGUAUUCCCUUGUGGUGCAGUGAGUUAAGGAUACAUUGUCACUGCUCUGGCUUGGGUCACUGCUGUGGUACGGGUUUGGUCCCUAGACCAGGAACUUGUACAUGCCAAGGGCAUGGCCAAAAAAAAAAAAAAAAAAAAAAAA
rnacentral:lncRNA from 1 species